rnacentral:misc_RNA from 1 species
UUUUUCCUGUCUCAUUACAUGCUUUCUACCAUACAUAAGAUGAUGGCUACUUUAGUGAAUGGCAUUUUAGUACUUUAAUUUGGAAGUUCCAUAUUAAAUAUUUUAACUUAAAUUAAUAAUAUGGAUUCCUUUUGGAAUUGUGCAUGCCUUAUAUGUAUUUCGCCAUUUUUUGUAGCAUACAAUGGAUGGAUUUAUAGAAACAUAAGUUCAG